ensembl:snoRNA
AUCCUUUUGUAGUUCAUAAGCAGGAUGAAAUGUGCCUCCCUCAAACUUUGUUAUGAUAUCAUCAUAUUAUCCAUCUGUGU